AACAUUGGUUUAUAAACCCAACAAGUGGCUGUCGAAAUGCCAUAUUAAUUGAUAGCUACAACGCUCUGCUCUAAUAAUUCCAGUCAUACUAAAGAGUUAAUAUCUGGCUAGUGUUAAACAAGCGGCCUAUGUGAUUGAAUUGUUUUGCACUGCGUUAAAUGUGAUGUAAGUUGCUCAGAGCGUACAGUCUGUUAACACGUGUUUGGUGAUAACUUGAUGACUUGAAGUAUUGUUGAUCGUCAAGUGUUUCGCAUGAUUGUUAUUUGCUACUGAAAAAAGACUUAAUGUCAAUAGCUGGUGAAUAAACGGAUCUGUACAACUGUGAAACAACGAACGUGUUAGGCGGACUAGUAUACUCGUACACUGAUCAUGUCUUCGGAAAACUUGCUUUAUGAAAUGGAUCAUCACCAUACAAGCGUACAGGUUUUGAGCAUCGGCGUCGAACAUUUGUCUCAAGAGAAACAAGAUCUGCAGUUACAUGAGUUGCCGACCAACACCGCAUCUCAAGACAGCCUAGAACAAAGCAGGCCAAGGAGGAAAUUAGUGUCUUUCAGUGUGGCAGUGUUGUAACGUUGGCUGCCGCCCCCCCCCCCCAACAUCUCUUCUUCAGCUUUAGUUUCAAUCGGGCGACAAGGAGAUGAUGGUCCGCAGCCACGUCUGCUCCUCGCUUGACACGUACAUCCUGAAGAGAGCGACGAAACUUCCUUGCGAUGCACAAGUGGUCAAUCUGGUUCUCCGUUGACAGGUCUGGUGACACCCAAAUUGCCUUGUGUAUCCUCCUGUGAUAUGAAUCACUUCCUCCGAUGACCAGGUUACUUGUCGU